GUCACGUCAUGCAACAAAGCAAAAUUCGGUAGUUAUUAUAUGAUCUGCAAUACGAAAUGUCACUUUAUCAGCUUCUAUUAAAUUAGAAUAUGAAUAUUCUGCGACGAAGCACGUGAAUGCCGGUUAGACUGCUGUUGCCAACACGUGCGCGAAAACAUGUGUCCGUACUACUACUUUGGACGUCUAUACACGUAUGAUAGUCACUGACUGACUCAUCUUGGCAAAGAUAUAGCGUCAUGCAUUGCUAUUUCUUUCGCGCUUUCUCUUUGUCGAUGUAUGAUAUAUUGAAUAGUUUGUGAUAUAUAAGGUUUUAUUAUUAUGAAUCAUUAUUAUUCUAAUAAAUGAUCUUUAUCUCGAAGGCACUAUUCAAUUUUUUUCAUCAGAAUUGAGGAUAGAACCUAAAUUACCCCUAUUAUACGUCAGUAGGUGAGGAAACGUGGUUGGGAGAUGGUUGGAGUGGAAUAAAAAGUGAGAAUAAAAGAGAAAGGGGCUUGGAGGAUUGCAUCGGGCAGAAUGAAACUGCGAGCGACAGAUUGUGAGAACUGCCAAUACGUCAUUCGAAUGUCAAUAAGUCUAGGAAAGACGGUUUUAACCGUUUGAAUUGUUGUAAUUUUUAGAAAUUUCGCUAUUAAAUUUUGAAUAAAAAUUAUUUUAAAUUGAUCAAUUAAUUUAUCAUCUGUAUAAUGUUUUUUGAGAGAUCAUGUUUUCAUAAAAACAUCUAUUAUUUUUGCAAAUUUGUUGGCUCAUAAAGUUGAUAUUACUCAAGUUGCAAAAAAAGGAUUGAAAUUGCCAUGUUAUAUUUCUGCAUUUAAUCCAAUAUAAAAUAUAAAAUUAUACAAUUGGAUAUCCAUGUUUGUCACAUAUAUAUAUCACAUGUCCAUCAUCACAUGUUGUAAAUGCAAAGAUUUUUCAAGUGGAAACGGAUAUUCAGAUUGAAUGAAUCUGAUUACUUUUACUUUUCUUGAAAUAUAUUACGAUUGAACAAUUUAGAAAAUAACAAUUUAGAAAUGAAUAUUCAAUUUAAUAUCGAAAAGAAAACA